rnacentral:rRNA from 1 species
GGCGAACGCUGGCGGCGUGCUUAACACAUGCAAGUCGAACGGAAAGGCCCUGCUUUUGUGGGGUGCUCGAGUGGCGAACGGGUGAGUAACACGUGAGUAACCUGCCCUUGACUUUGGGAUAACUUCAGGAAACUGGGGCUAAUACCGGAUAGGAGCUCCUGCUGCAUGGUGGGGGUUGGAAGUUUCGGCGGUUGGGGAUGGACUCGCGGCUUAUCAGCUUGUUGGUGGGGUAGUGGCUUACCAAGGCUUUGACGGGUAGCCGGCCUGAGAGGGUGACCGGCCACAUUGGGACUGAGAUACGGCCCAGACUCCUACGGGAGGCAGCAGUGGGGAAUAUUGCACAAUGGGCGGAAGCCUGAUGCAGCAACGCCGCGUGCGGGAUGACGGCCUUCGGGUUGUAAACCGCUUUCGCCUGUGACGAAGCGUGAGUGACGGUAAUGGGUAAAGAAGCACCGGCUAACUACGUG